rnacentral:rRNA from 1 species
GAUGAACGCUAGCGGCAGGCUUAACACAUGCAAGUCGAGGGGUAACAGGGAAGAGCUUGCUUUUCCGCUGACGACCGGCGCACGGGUGCGUAACGCGUAUAGAACCUACCUUUUACAGGGGAAUAGCCCAGAGAAAUUUGGAUUAAUGCCCCAUAGUAUUAUUGAAUGGCAUCAUUUAAUAAUUAAACAUUUAUGGGUAAAAGAUGGCUAUGCGUUCUAUUAGCUAGAUGGUAAGGUAACGGCUUACCAUGGCAACGAUAGAUAGGGGUCCUGAGAGGGAGAUCCCCCACACUGGUACUGAGACACGGACCAGACUCCUACGGGAGGCAGCAGUGAGGAAUAUUGGACAAUGGAGGCAACUCUGAUCCAGCCAUGCCGCGUGCAGGAAGACGGUCCUAUGGAUUGUAAACUGCUUUUAUAUAGGAAGAAACCUUUCCACGUGUGGAAAGCUGACGGUACUAUAAGAAUAAGCACCGGCUAACUCCGUGCCAGCAGCCGCGGUAAUACGGAGGGUGCAAGCGUUAUCCGGAAUCAUUGGGUUUAAAGGGUCCGUAGGCGGACUAAUAAGUCAGGGGUGAAAUCCAACAGCUUAACUGUUGAACUGCCUUUGAUACUGUUAGUCUUGAGUUAUAUGGAAGUAGAUAGAAUAUGUAGUGUAGCGGUGAAAUGCUUAGAGAUUACAUAGAAUACCGAUUGCGAA